UACCAGCACCCCGAGUGGUCGGGACGUUUUAUUGGGCCUAAAGCAUCCGUAGCCGGUUCUACAAGUCUUCCGUUAAAUCCAACUGCUUAACAGGUGGGCUGCGGAAGAUACUAUAGAGCUAGGAGGCGGGAGAGGCAAGCGGUACUCGAUGGGUAGGGGUAAAAUCCGUUGAUCCAUUGAAGACCACCAGUGGCGAAGGCGGCUUGCCAGAACGCGCUCGACGGUGAGGGAUGAAAGCUGGGGGAGCAA
rnacentral:rRNA from 1 species